UAAUUCAUGGAAUGAGAGCUAUUAUGAGUCAUGGUACGUGUGGUAACCACCUUGCAAGAUGGUCCCCCAAUGACCUCUGCUUCCUGGUAUUCACAGCCUUGUGUAACACCCUCCCACGCUGUAUCAGGGAGCCACCUGUCAUAUUAUGAGGAAACCCAAACCUUAUAGAGAGGCUCAUGUGACAAGGAAUUGAGUCAUUUGAGUGACCUAUCAUGGAAAUGGACCUGCUGAUUUCCUGAUUUCAGGGCAGACCUUGAGCCAGAACCACCUACUUGAAUUCCUAACCCAAGAAAUGUGUUCUCAACUCUAGCUACACAUCAAAUCUAUUACCUUUUAAAACUGCACAUGACCCUGGCUCAGAUUCCAAAGAAUUUGAUAAAAGAUCUGAGAUAUCAAUUAGAUGUGAUCUGCCUUCUCCCCUACACAUAAUCAAAAGAGUAGCUGCUACUUAAAUGUGGAGGAAACUCAUAUAUGGAAUCAAAACAGUCACUGAAGAAAAAAAAAUUUCCUCUUCUAAAACUCAAAGGAAGGUGAUGACUUGGAGACUGUCUAGCAAUUGCUGUGCAUUAAUGGGGUGACAGUCAGAGGAAGACGCCUGGGGCAGAAGAGCUUCAGUGUAAGGAAAUCAGCCUUUACUGCUCUGCCCAAUCAUGUCAGCACCACUGCUCUUUCAAGGGGCUUCCCGCCAUUGUUGCUCCCUGCUCCGGAACACCCCAUGCUGCCAAAGCCACUGCAGGGGGUCACCUUUAACAGACAACCUCAUUUUCAAAUUUCCAGACCACUAAAUCAAAUGAACCAGU